AAAAGGGAAUACUUUCAUAGUUGCCUUAAAUUUGAAGAGGAUUACAAUGAAACUAGAAGGGAUUUUGUUAGUGGUUCUGCUAGCUGUACUAAAUCAUUCGGUUAAUGGCUUUAAUACAAAGAAAUGUAAUGCUCCAGCCCCCAUUGAUGGAAAGUGUGGAGGUAAAGUUCACAUAGCAUGGACAUUUUACAAGCAAGUAUGCUGGCAAUUCAAAUAUUCGGGCUGUGUUAAAAAUAAAGAAAACGUAUUUGACUCACUGGCCGAAUGUGAGAAAGCUUGCUAUUAAAGAGCUCUUUAUAAGCUAAAAA